AAGCUGAAACAAGUCUGUUGUAAUACAAAACAUCUCGUUUUAAUAAAAAUGUGAUCAUUGAUCAUCAUUUUAGCCUGUUUUGGGAAUAUUGAAACACUAUAAUUCUCUUUCAGUGCCUAUUGCCUGUCAAGAUUGGGGUUAAAUGGCGUUUUGGUCACUGAACUGGCCUAUAACUUUCACUUGGAUCAUCGUACUCAAAAAGCUGUCAGUCAACUGAUUAUACUGUUAAAAAAUUUCAAUCAGGUCACUGCCCGUUAGUAACGUUAAAAUUUGGACGGAAAGAUGAAUCAGCAGGUGAUGUGGCUUGUUAUUCAUCAACGUGGCAGUGUGAAAUGUGGCACUCGGGUAUAAAUACAAUAAAAUUUCCAACAAGCCCCGAAACCAGUGAACUAAAAGCAUAAAAAUGCAAACUUUAGAGUAUAUAACAUUGUGAAUACCUAUAAAUUGAAGAUGAAAUCAAUCAUACAAAUAAAAAAGACCUCUUUUUCUAUCAAAGAUUACUCAAAAGAUUAACAAACAAGAACUUACAGGGUCCCAUUUGUUCCUCCAUUUUUCACAAGAAAUUGGUGUGGAAUGAAUAAAAGAAGCAAAAGUGAAAGAUGGCGGAGGUGUAAUUGUUGCUCUAACAUCUUCAACAGCAACAUGUUUCUCCAUCUGGGCAUCACUUGUUUUUACCGCGAAACCCAAAAAUUAUAUCAAAUGAACGCGCAGAUAUAUGAUUACAAGCAAGUACAUUCAAACCCAAGAUGAUGUCCCCAGUUGCUCGAUUCUCAUCUUCGCCAUUCGAUUCUUCACCACAAGUCUCCAAUUCAACAUCCAUAACAUCAUUAGAUCCACCUCCAACACUAACUUCGUCUUCAACAUUGUUUGGUUGAGUAACACGAACCUCAAUACCCGAUCGAGUCUGUACCAUAGUUGCAAUUAGGGUGUAGAUCAGUUAAUUUAGGGUUAAUUUAGGUGAGAAUGAAAUGAUAUGAAUUGGGGAGAUAGGUCGGGGGUUUUAUUACUUGGGUCGGGUUAUAAGAAAGUUGGGUGAUUUUAUUAGUAGGUGGGUUAACCCGCUGAUCUGGCUGCACAGGCGUGAGAAUUUAACGAAGCACCGUCUAAAGUCAAAAGGAUUUAACGGCUGUGAAAUUUUUAUUGUGUUUGAUGAUUCAUUUGAAUAUUUUUACUAGUUAAGUGACCUGAGUGACAGCUUUUUGAGUACGAUGAUCCAAGUGAAAGUUAUAGGUCAGUUCAGUGACCAAAACGCCAUUUUACCCGUCAAGAUUGGUACUACCUUAUUUGUCCCUUGUUGCUGACUUCUCAAAACUGAUUUAUCAUGUUCUUCUACUCUACGAGGUUCCUUUGCAUCUGUAUCUACAUCAGAGUAAGUCAAUGUUACCAGAUAAAAUUAAGAAACAUGUUAUCCACUACAGAACAU
rnacentral:lncRNA from 1 species